rnacentral:rRNA from 1 species
CCUACGGGUGGCAGCAGUGAGGAAUAUUGGUCAAUGGGCGAGAGCCUGAACCAGCCAAGUCGCGUGAGGGAAGACGGUCCUACGGAUUGUAAACCUCUUUUGUCAGGGAGCAAGGAGCGCUACGAGUGGUGCGGCGAGAGUACCUGAAGAAAAAGCAUCGGCUAACUCCGUGCCAGCAGCCGCGGUAAUACGGAGGAUGCGAGCGUUAUUCGGAUUUAUUGGGUUUAAAGGGUGCGCAGGCGGAUGCGGAAGGGCAGCGGCAAAAUGGGGGGGCAAAACCUCGCCGGGCCGUUGAAACUGCUCUUCUAGAGUGGGCGAGAGGUAUGCGGAAUGCGUGGUGUAGCGGUGAAAUGCAUAGAUAUCACGCAGAACUCUGAUUGCGAAGGCAGCAUACCGGCGCCCAACUGACGCUCAUGCACGAAAGCGUGGGUAUCGAACAGGAUUAGAUACCCAGUAGUC